rnacentral:rRNA from 1 species
GUUCAUGGCCAGACGUCCUUGUCAAAGCCUGAUCUCGUCCGAUUGUGUAAGCUAAGCAAGGCCGGGCCUGGUUAGUACUUGGAUGGGACACCUCUGGGAGUUCCGGGUUACACAGUGGGGC